AUUGUUUUUGAGAUACGGCGCGACAUGUAAAAAAAACCCUCCCCUUUUUUACAAAAUACUCAAUAACUCAAAAAUAAAAUUUUGAGUCAUCACCAAAAAGUAUACAGAUCUUUAUAUUAAUAAAACAAAGAAGUGUGUAAAGUUUUAAGCAAUAAUCAUAAAUCGUUUUUGAGAUACGGCACGACAUGUAAAAAACCCCUCCCCCUUUUUUACAAAAUACUCAAUAACUCAAAAAUAAAAUUUUGAAUCAUCACCAAAAAGUAUACGGAUCUUUAGAUUAAUAUAACAAAGAAGUGUGUAAAGUUUUAAGCAAUAAUCAUAAAUCGUUUUUGAGAUACGGCGCGACAUGUAAAAAACCUCCCCCCUUUUUUACAAAAUACUCAAUAACUCAAAAAUGAAAUUUUGAUUCAUCACCAAAAAGUAUACAGAUAUUAAGAUUAAUAUAACUAAGAAGUGUGUAAAGUUUUAAGCAAUAAUCAAGAAUCGUUUUUGAGAUACGGUGCGAC
rnacentral:lncRNA from 1 species